UACGUAGGUGGCAAGCGUUAUCCGGAAUUAUUGGGCGUAAAGCGCGCGCAGGCGGUUUCUUAAGUCUGAUGUGAAAGCCCACGGCUCAACCGUGGAGGGUCAUUGGAAACUGGGGAACUUGAGUGCAGAAGAGAAAAGCGGAAUUCCACGUGUAGCGGUGAAAUGCGUAGAGAUGUGGAGGAACACCAGUGGCGAAGGCGGCUUCCUGGCCUGUAACUGACGCUGAGACGCGAAAGCGUGGGGAGCGAACCGG
rnacentral:rRNA from 1 species